rnacentral:rRNA from 1 species
UACGAAGGUCCCAAGCGUUAUCCGGAUUUAUUGGGUUUAAAGGGUGCGUAGGCGGGCUAUUAAGUCAGUGGUGAAAUCUCCGAGCCUAACUCGGAAAUUGCCAUUGAUACUGAUGGUCUUGAGUACAUUUGAAGUGGGCGGAAUGUGUCAUGUAGCGGUGAAAUGCUUAGAUAUGACACAGAACACCGAGUGCGUAGGCAGCUCACUAAACUGUAACUGACGCUGAGGCACGAAAGCGUGGGGAGCAAACAGG